GGACGGGUGAGUAACACGUGAGUAACCUGCCCUUGACUUUGGGAUAACUCCGGGAAACCGGGGCUAAUACCGGAUAACAUUUUGAACUGCAUGGUUCGAAAUUGAAAGGCGGCUUCGGCUGUCACUUAUGGAUGGACCCGCGUCGCAUUAGCUAGUUGGUAAGGUAACGGCUUACCAAGGCAACGAUACGUAGCCGACCUGAGAGGGUGAUCGGCCACACUGGAACUGAGACACGGUCCAGACUCCUACGGGAGGCAGCA
rnacentral:rRNA from 1 species